AUAUCUACAAAUUAUGUUAUCAUUAUGCUCGACAAAGAAUAAUUGAUUCCUUCGGAUCAUCUACAUAAAGGUAAUAUUCGAAUUCUUCCGAAAUUGUCAUCCUUCAGGGAAAGUCGAAUUUAUUUUUAAUGGUAAAGUAGCAAUUUGUCUUCUCUAAUGUUUUCAUUCGUGGUUGUUUCUUAAUUUACAGGCUUUUAAACGGUCUCCUUGGUGCAGCUCAAGUCUGGAGCAAACUGUUAGUUUGGUUGGGAAUUAGGAAGAAUCCUAGCAACUGGGAUAAUGAGCUACUGUGGACUGAACAAAAUGCAAAGAGCAAAUCUCCUCAGGCUUAAGUUUAUAGAAUUUUGUUGGCAACAGCUGUUUACCAUAUAUGAAAGGAGAGAAACAUGAGGGUAUUCCAACAAAAACAACUGAGUGUUCAGUGACGCUCAUUAUACAAGAGAUUCACACUAGAGCAGGAAGAUAGGCAAAACUUACUAGAUGGCUUAGCAAUUAUUAUUUGUAUCCAGUUUGAUAGGCUUUGUAGUAGUUCUCUUUUGCUAGCAGUUGUGUUGCAGCUAUUAUGUUUAGAUUGGUCUUUUGCUAGAGAAACUUCAACUUUCAGUAUAAAAAUGAAUCAAGUGAAAUUUAAGUUGCCAACUAAAUUCCACAUUUUUUUUUCUUAUCUUCAACAUCAAGUACUCUUUUUGUUCAAUUUUUACACAAAAUAUUGUUUAAACACCUACAUAAUUUCUUCAGGAUAGUAUUAAGGUUUGCCCCAAGUUUACCGAAUUACGAAGAUAUGAUCAAGAAAUUAUUUGAAGAAUACAUGCACAUUGACGAAAAGGUCCUUACUGAGCUGGAAGUGGUACUGCUAGAAUUUAUUGAUUGGACUUUAUUUAGCGACGAACAACUCUCUCUAAAUUAUAUAAAUUUGUAAAUAUCAAGGGCUUCAUAAGGUGCUGUAUAAAUAAAAAAAGAAUUAACGAGGGAGAACUCUAUCUAAAAAAUAAAAUAAUGUAAUCUAAUUCAUUUAGUGACCGCGCGAUGUGCGGACAAAUUUACUAGUUAUAAAAUAAGAUGACCAACAUGACCAUGUUUAUGUACUGAUCCCGCCAUUCAUAAAAAGUACUAUUCUCCAUCUCAAUUUAUGUGUAUUUAAAUAUGGAGUAUAAGAAAAGAAAGAAAGGAAGAA